rnacentral:rRNA from 1 species
CGCGAAUAGCUCAUUACAACAGCUAUGAUUUACUUGAUCUUGACAUAUCCUACAUGGAUAACUGUGGUAAUUCUAGAGCUAAUACAUGCAACUACGCUCUGACCUCACGGAAAGGGAGCAUUUAUUAGAACGAAACCAGGCGGCUCUGCCGAGUUUUGUUGACUCAGAAUAACUCAGCUGAUCGCAUGGUCUUGUACCGGCGACGUGUCAUUCAAGUAUCUGCCUUAUCAACUUUCGACGGUAGUGUAUCUGACUACCGUGGUGGUGACGGGUAACGGAGGAUUAGGGUUUGACUCCGGAGAAGGGGCCUGAGAAAUGGCCACUACGUCUAAGGAUGGCAGCAGGCGCGCAAAUUACCCACUCUCAGAAUGAGGAGGUAGUGACGAGAAAUAACGAGACUGUUCUUUAUAAGGCCAGUCAUCGGAAUGGGUACAACUUAAACCCUUUAACGAGUAUCUAUGAGAGGGCAAGUCUGGUGCCAGCAGCCGCGGUAAUUCCAGCUCUCAAAAUGCAUAGAAUCAUUGCUGCGGUUAAAAAGCUCGUAGUUGGAUUUGUGCCUUGGAUGCGGUCCACCUUCGGGUGUGCACUGUAUUCCUCGGCUUAUAUGCUGGUUUUCUCAUUGUGGCCUUAAUUGGUUGCGGUGGGUGACUGGCGAGUUUACUUUGAACAAAUCAGAGUGCUCAAUACAAGCGUUUCGCUUGAAUGCUUUUGCAUGGAAUAAUAGAAGAGGAUUUCGGUCCACUUUUAUUGGUUUUACUGACUGAGAUAAUGGUUAAUAGAGACGAUCGGGGGCAUUCGUAUCGUUGCGCGAGAGGUGAAAUUCUUGGACCGUAGCGAGACGUACAAUAGCGAAAGCAAUUGCCAAGAACGUCUUCUUUAAUCAAGAACGAAAGUCAGAGGUUCGAAGGCGAUCAGAUACC